rnacentral:rRNA from 1 species
GAUGAACGCUAGCGGCAGGCCUAAUACAUGCAAGUCGAACGGUGUCUUCGGACAUAGUGGCGCACGGGUGCGUAACACGUAUGCAACCUACCUUACAUUGGGGGAUAGCCUUUCGAAAGGGAGAUUAAUACCGCAUAAGACAGUAGCUGGGCAUCCAGCAGCUGUUAAAGAUUUAUCGAUGUAAGCUGGGUAUGCGUCCAAUUAGCUAGUUGGUGAGGUAACGGCUCACCAAGGCAAUGAUUGGUAGGGGAACUGAGAGGUCAAUCCCCCACACUGGCACUGGGAUACGGGCCAGACUCCUACGGGAGGCAGCAGUAGGGAAUAUUGGGCAAUGGACGCAAGUCUGACCCAGCCAUGCCGCGUGCAGGAUGAAGGCGUUAUGCGUUGUAAACUGCUUUUAUACAGGAAGAAACGACUCUUGCGAGAGGCAUUGACGGUACUGUAUGAAUAAGCACCGGCUAACUCCGUGCCAGCAGCCGCCGCAGUAA